rnacentral:rRNA from 1 species
GAUGAACGCUGGCGGCGCGCCUAACACAUGCAAGUCGAACGAUUAAAGCACCUUCGGGUGUGUAUAAAGUGGCGAACGGCUGAGUAACACGUGGGCAACCUGCCCCUCUCAUUGGGAUAGCCACGGGAAACCGUGGAUAAUACCGAAUACUUCGGGACUUCCGCAUGGAAGACUCGAGAAAGCUCCGGCGGAGAGGGAUGGGCCCGCGGCCUGUUAGCUUGUUGGUGGGGUAAUGGCCUACCAAGGCAAUGAUGGGUAGCUGGGUUGAGAGACCGACCAGCCAGAUUGGGACUGAGACACGGCCCAGACGCCUACGGGAGGCAGCAGUGGGGAAUCUUGCACAAUGGGCGAAAGCCUGAUGCAGCGACGCCGCGUGCGGGAGGAAGGCCUUCGGGUUGUAAACCGCUUUCAGCAGGGACGAGGCGAAAGUGACGGUACCUGCAGAAGAAGCCCCGGCUAACUACGU